GUCACUACAGCGCCAGUUGACACGUACCUGGCGGACAGGAAAUAUCCAAACCCUCGUUCGACGUGUCCCAUAGAGGUAUAUCAGUGUAAAGGAAAAGCCAUCAUUAGCGGCAACUGCAAUGAAGCAUCAAUAAAGACAUGAGCAUGCCAACCACCCUGAGACUGAUAAUUCAGGGAACACAUUUCUGUCACUAACAAAGUGGAUGGAGAGCGAAAGUGAUGGCCACGUUUUGGAGCAGCAUCUGGGUUUUGCAGACGGCUAUGUAUUUCUUUCCCAUUAUGCUUCUGUUUCCUAAAGAUUCUUUGUGAGGAUAAAUCCAGAGAAUACAACAUAAUGCACUGCAAAAUGUCCUAAGACAGGAGAAAUGGUGAAGAUGAACUGGUCCUGCAU